GCGUGGCUGUGCGCCCUAGUGGAAACCAUUUUGCGGGGAGCCGGAUAUGCAACUUUCCGGGUUGGCAGAAACGCUUAGGGAGGCACUAGGCAGUGGUUAAUUAUAGGAACCGCGGAGGUUUCCCGGUUGGAAAAUUCAGCGGGAGGGCGGGGCUUGUGGCGAGACAGCCCGGGCAACGCUGGGAGGGGCGGGGCCGCCGUACGAAUUUGAGUUUCGUAAUUAGCACUAAGCUUGGGUCUCCCAGGACCAGAUCUUGUUUUAUCUGCCAGUGUUUUUAGAUAAGGUAUUCCGUCAGUCCCUUUGCGAAGCAAACGACUGAAGAAAAUGUUGGAGAACUUGCUCUAACUGGGGGCAUGCGGCGUACAGUACGAUCCCGAAGACUUGCGUCGACGGAGACGCUGGACGGUGGCCGCGUUCCCUAGGAAACACUACGCGAGAAGUAGCGGCGCCAGUCGGUUACGUCAGAUGGACUCCAUCUAGACUGCUGGGGGCAGUCUUGGGUAGCCAGGAAACCAACCCAAUCCUUUUCGAGGACAGAGUUCCCCGAGGGAACUGUUUUGGAAGAAAGAGGUAGUUCCUGGGGAACAGGAAACGUCCGGAUUUAGGGGCUGUGAGAGAUGCCUGGGAAAGCUAGGGAGACCGGACUCUAGUAGUUGUUUGUUUCAUGCCUUCUGUAAAGGGCACAAAAGUGUAGCAGCUCUGGCUGGAGUAGCGUUUGCCUAGCGUCUCUAACAUCCUGAGUUUAAGUGUCAAAUGGAUGGCCGGGGCAGUGGUGGCGCACGCGCUUAAUCCCAGCACUUGGGAGGCAGAGGCAGGUGGAUUUCUGAGUUCGAGGCCAGCCUGGUCUACAGAGUGAGUUCCAGGACAACCAGGGUUACACAGAGUAACCCUGUCUCAGAGAAACAAACAAACAAACAAAAAACACGAAAGUUGUGAGAUGAAAUAGACCCUUUCCUUCCCAAGUUGCAGUGUUUUGAUUUCAGCAAUUAAGGGACACAGCAAACUAGGACACAGUCUGGUGGGCUGUGCUAUAAAUAUAGUGUGGUUUAGUAUCUGUCCUAGAUGAGAAUUUAUCGGGCACUCUUCUCUAAAGAGGUAAUUUUUUUUAAGUAGGAAUAAAAUACUUGGUGCGUGCCAGGUAGCUCUGUACCAGCAGCCCUAACAUGGGAUCAGUUUAGUUUGGUAAAGAGCUGGAUUAGUAUGGCUCAGUGUUUGUUAGAUGUUUUUCUCCUGACAAAGGCAACUUAAGGAAGAAAGGGGUUAUUUUAGGUCACAGGGGUUUUGGGGGUUCUAGGGGGUACAAACAUCAUGGCAGGAAAGACUUGAUGGCAGGAGUGUGGGGUGAUUUCUCGAGUGUGUCCAGAGCUUGGAAGUGCAGAGAGUGAAGAAUUGGUGUUCUGCUUGCUCUCUCGUUCCUGCUCAUCUAUAGCCCUAGUCCAGGGUCACUGGAAAUUAGGGUGUGUCUUACCUUCUCUGUUAAGCCUCUAGAGACAGCUUCACGGAUACACAUGGAGUUUUGUCUUGUCACAAACCCACCCUGACACCAGGAGUAUCACCUUUAUGGUCUCCAUUAGCUGGUGGUAACACUGGAGUGCUAUCAAAGAUGUCACCGUUCUUUUUUAGUUUGGUUGGUUUGGGUUUUUGAGGCAGAGUUCCUCAAAUGAUGUCUUGGCUGCCCUGUAACUUGUUAUGUAGGCCCUGAACUCACAUAGAUCCAUUUCCCUCUUCCUCCCAAAUGUAAGGAUUAAUGCCACCACAUCCAGCUAUUAGGCUUUAGAGACAGGGUCUCAUGUAGUCAAGGCUGGUCUCCAACUCAAGGUAUCAAGAGUGACCUUGAACUUCUCAUCCUCCUGCUUCCACCUCCCUGGGGCUAGCAUCAUAGCCAUGUGCCAUCAUCCCUGGUUUUGUAUGGUGCUUUUCAGACAACCCCAUGGCUUUGUGCAUGCUGUAUAAACACUGAGCUAUAUCCAACCCUGAAACAUCACUUUUAAAUCACAGCGUUCCCAAAGUCUCGGGUUAAUUCUUUAGACUGGAUGUGAGAUUUCUUACUGAACAUGAUGCACUGGCAUAUAGGAGAGCAGAGUGGAAGCUCUCAGGACUACAGAGUCUGCCACUUUUCCCGGUACUAUAACUGGGGAUAUAUGUGCUCAUAGCCAUCAGGCAUGAACUGGUUCUCAGUUACCAUGUCUUUCAUCCACAUUAAACUUGGUAAAGCCCCACUUCUUUGAGGUGUGGCUCUUCUAGAGGCCAGGGAACUUGAGCUUAAUCUCUUUGCAAGGCCUUAGCCGUGUUCCUCGUUGUGAAACUUGAUGUGGAUGGACGUGAUGGCCUGGCCUCAGUGGAUCCUGGCCGUUGUAUCCUGGAGCUUCCCAAAAGCAUCUUGCACUCAUGCUUGUCUGAAGCCUGGGGUGGGGAUAGUACUGAGAUCAGAGACAGAAAUCGCCCCUAGAAAAUUGCCUCCAAGAUCCCUUAGGGAACCCAUAUAGGUAGCAGGUUGAAUGUGCUACCCAGCAGGCUGCUGUAUGUAGCCAUUACACACAGGCCUCCAUGAAGAAGGGGGCCUGGCCAGCUCAGCUGGCUGCAGUCAUGUUCAUUUCUUUUUCUUUGUUUCUUUUGUUUAUUUGCUUUUGGAAACAGGGUCUCUCCAUGGCCCUGCUGUUCUAGAUCUAGAACUCACUUGGUAGACAAGGCUAGCACUGAAGAGUGCUGGGAUCAAAGUGCAGGGCAUGCAGGGAAGAUGAGGCCCAUGGCUGGAGACGUGACUCAGUCUGUAAAGAGUGCUGCAAAAGGCCAGGCCAAAGCAAGAGUGAAACCCAGCAAGGCCGCCACUCCAUACCUGCAAUCUGAACUCAAGAUGGAAUCUCUGGGUUCCAGCACUGCCAGCAGCCAUGGCCACAGCUUGCCACCAGCAGCACGUGCAGCUUUUCCCUUGGGUCCGCUCCCUUCUCUGCCUGCAGCUCUCCUCAGCAGAUGCCCCACAGCCCUAGAACCUCCAAUAUCCUCUGCAGUUAGGUAUCACGUUGUCACCAUCAGGCAAUGGAUUCCCAGGACCUUCAUCUAGGGAACCUGACCCCGCCCUACCUUGCCUGGCCUUGAAGACUUCCUGGAACCUUGCUGUACGCUUCCGAAGUGCCUAUACAACUAACACCACGUGAAAGGACGUCUUGCCAAAGUAAACCCGUGAAAGACUGUUUUCCUGAAGCAGACACAGGUGAAACGAUGUUUGGAUAUAGCAAACACCUAAAAGGACGCUUGAUGAAGGAGUAUAGAUAUGGUCCCCCUGACAGCCGAGCGGAGCACUGAGCAUUUGCCUGGUUUGUUCCACCUCGCUGUUUGCAAAAGACACACAUGUGCUGGUUCGCCUUACAUAGCGUUGUUGAGCUCAACUUGUGGAAACACCACCAUUGAGAGAAACUCGCCCCCGAACUGCUCCUGAGGUUUCUGCAGAAGCUUGCCACCUGUGGGGCCUUGCCUCAGGCUGUUUGGCAAGUCUGGCGGUUUCUUCAGGAUUGAACUACAGCUGCCUGGUGUCUGUUUGCUGAAAGCACUGGACUGUAGCUGUGUCUGCCUGCCUAGAGGACUGGCCUGCAGCUGCUGAAUCAUAUUUGGUGUUUGCUAUGGGACUGAACUGCUGCCUAAGAAGAUCGAGCUCAUCCCCAAGGAACUACAGCUGAACAGGUCCACUUCCCCAUAUCCUAAUAACUUUUCCACUACCUCUGCUGGGUGGUCAGCUAGAGGAGAAGUUGAACCCUUAUUAAAAGGUUGCAAAAAAUUUAUGCUUACACAAGUUCUCGGUGCAUGAGCAGAAUCCAGCCAGAGAGUAACAAGAAUGGUGCUACCUGCAUGCUUCCCUCGGAAAUGAGCAGUGUUUACUGCCUAUGAUCAGGGCUCUGGUCCCCCUGACUUGCACCAUGAUGGCUUACAAAGGUCUGUUUAGAACAUUCCAGGAUUGUUCUUUGCCAAACUCUUCCGCUCCCAACCCAAAACCAUUUGCAAAGGCCUAGGAGCUGUAUGGCCACCUUUAUCACACAGCAGUGCCCAGUCCUUAGAACCGUGUUUCUGUAUUAGUUACUUUUAUUGUAGUUCUCACAGAAGCAAUUUAUGGAAAGAUUUGCUUCAGCCCAGUCUUACAGGCACAUUGUAUCCUGGUGGGGAAGCCAUGACAGCAGCUGCUCUAUGAGGCAGCUGGUCGCACUGCCCCCACAGGCAGUGAGCAGGGAGGAGAUGCUGGUGCUCCCCACAGGCAGGGAGGAGAGGCUGGUGCUCCCCACAGGCAGGGAGGAGAUGCUGGUGCUCCCCACAGGCAGGGAGGAGAGGCUGGUGCUCUGCACCUUUUCUUCUUUGGGAAGAAAAGUCCUUUUACUUUGGAGGCCCUUUUGGUGCACCUUUUACUUAGGGACCCCAGCUCCUAGAACAGUGCUACCCAGUUCAGGAUGGGUCCUCACACCCCCCCUGCCCUGCAGUUAAACCUUUUUGGAACUGCCUUCCUAGAAAUAUCCAGAGGCACCAACCAGCUGCAAAGCCUUUAACCUACAAUUUGUCCUGCCUGGCGGAUGUGCCUGGUCAGUGGUGGCCCAGAACUUGUGGCAGUGGCUAAAAUGGCUGAGCUAUAUAGGAAUCAGGCUAGGGCAGGGAAGCCUAGCCAA